CGGCCCCGGGGCGCAACUGGCCGGUGGCGUCCGGAGCGCGCCGCGGCCGGGUCUUCUCCCGGACAGAGUCUCUUUCCGCGCUGAGCUGGGGCCUGGAAGAUCCGCAACAGUUGCUAGUAGAGGGCAAGAAGCCGAGGCGCUGCAAAGCACCCUUCUCCCUGCCCCCUGCCCCCCGCCCCCUGCCCCCGUCUCGUGCUGCCAGAGGAUCCUGAACAGGAAAUUGUUUCAAGAUCAAGAUUUGAUUGAUGUCUGGACUUUAGAUAUUUCUACAAAGUGAAGAUCAGUGUUGUGUAGUAGAGGAACCAUAAGGAAACAUCCAUGGAACUUCUUGUGGCCAUCUUGUCACUUCCUUGCCUCCUUGGUAGAAGCCCACUUACAAGAGAAGAGAACCAACCCCAGAAGGAAGCAAAAGAGAUAAGAGUAUGGGGUGACAACACUGUUGGAGGCUGGGAAUGGCCUGGGAUUUUCUUUUGAUCAGCCAAUUCCUCUCUCCUACAAACUAUUUACAAGUGCUAUUCUGUACUAGGCACUGUACCAGGUGCUGGGGAAACAUUCAGGGAAAGACAAAGUCUCUUCUUUCAAAACUGAAAGAGGGAGGAGAAGACAGACAACAAACAAGUAUACAAAACCUCCUUCAGAUAAAGGAAAAUGGUAUGAAGGCGGACCAUUAAUAAGUUAGUAGAUAAAUGAGAACUUUCUGAUGAUAAUGUAAAGGGGGAAAAAUAAUUUUCCCUUUACUCUUCUGAGUUCUAUGGCUGAGACCACCCCCUCCCUAUAAUAAAAAAUAGAUUGACAAAAGAAAAAACAAUAACAACAAAAAAACAUCUAUGACUCCUUAAUACAUGGGAGAGACCUAGGAAAACUGAGUAACUCCCUGAAAUGGCCCCAGCCAUCACCUUAACUAUCAUCUAAAACUAAAGGGAAAAAAAAAAAGAUUUUGGGGUGGGGGCUAGAGCCAAUUGUGGGAGGUCACCAGGGCAAACAGAGUAAACAAGGAUAAGUUUGUUAUGCAGAUUUAAAUAGGUGCUAAGAGUUUCUUGUGAUUUAGGUUAUCCUUCUCUUCCUGAUACAGAAAAGGAGAUACCUACAAAUGGAGAUUUCCCUUAUAAAAUUAAAUGUCCUCAGUUUUCA